CCUACGGGUGGCAGCAGUAGGGAAUAUUGCUCAAUGGGGGAAACCCUGAAGCAGCAACGCCGCGUGGAGGAUGAAGGUUUUCGGAUUGUAAACUCCUUUUGUUAGAGAAGAUAAUGACGGUAUCUAACGAAUCAGCCCCGGCUAACUCCGUGCCAGCCGCCGCGGUAAUACGGAGGGUGCAAGCGUUACUCGGAAUCACUGGGCGUAAAGAGCGCGUAGGCGGGAUAGCAAGUCAGAUGUGAAAUCCUAGGGCUUAACCAUAGAACUGCAUUUGAAACUGUUAUUCUAGAGUAUGGGAGAGGUAGGUGGAAUUCUUGGUGUAGGGGUAAAAUCCGUAGAGAUCAAGAGGAAUACUCAUUGCGAAGGCGACCUGCUAGAACAUAACUGACGCUGAUGCGCGAAAGCGUGGGGAGCAAACAGGAUUAGAUACCCCAGUAGUC
rnacentral:rRNA from 1 species